rnacentral:lncRNA from 1 species
AGGUAGUCUUAGACUUCAAGUUGCUCUAUGAGCACUUGGUCUAGUUCUUUGAGAAUAAGAAGUUCUUGGAAGAAGGACCUAAGGCCAAAUAAGAGGGUAAAAAAGCGACCAAAGAGAAGGUAGCCAAGGAGGCCAAGACUGUCGAAGGCUUGAAGAAAUAGCUUUAAGAUAAAAUGGCCUUGAUAAAAGAAAAGAACCAGAGUCUGUUGGACCAGCACCAAAAAUAUAAAUGAUUAUGAAGAUAAGGUCGGCGAGCUGUGCAAGGAGGUGGAAGG